UCUGCACUUGUCAUUUGCUCCUCGCGCGUGUGAGGGAGAGGACACUGUGCAGCAGAGUCCAUGUAGAUAAAAGGACACUUUCUCUGCAGCCUUUACUCUCUCACUCUCUCACCCUCUCACACCGUCUCUCCUCUCCUCUCCUCGGUUGUGAUCAAACGCGUCACUGCUGAUGAAACACGGGAAAUAUCCGGCAGAAACACCGAUGGUGGAUAUUGUGUGGAGUUAAUCUGAUGUGCAAGACAAUGGCAGCAGCAGCAGCAGCAGCAGCAGCCCUAAAGUUUGCACCAACUCCAAAUGAAGACAAACUGCACCAGACAGGAGGAGGAGCUGCAGUUGUCCUGCAGAUAGAAUCAUGGAGUGGGUGGAUGGAAAGCUGGAUAAAGGCUGGUAGAUGACUGAACUCAGAGCCCCAGCACAGCUCAUCAUCAUUGCCAUGGGCUCUCAUCUUCCUCCUCUCCUCCUCUGGCCCAUACCUCCAUCCAAGGGUCCAGUCGAGGCAGUGAAGCCCAGGCAGGGGGCUAGUGAGUGGGCUGGGAAGGAUGGAAAAGGUCCCUGAAGGCUCGAAGCACCUCUGGAGCUCCCGUCAUGCAGGAGAAAUCAAUAUGAAACACAAAGCUUACACAGCUCUGAGUUGGGUUUCCUGUGUUAUUCUGUGGCCUCGGGGCCCACAGACCUCCAAAGUACGGGCCCCUGCAUGGCCCUCUUGGCUGCAGCUCUGGCACCGAAGACUGGACCUCAAGUCUCGAUCCACGCCGGCUGUGUGUGUGGUUCUGCUGAAGGGGAAUUCUCCCCAAAUAAUAUCCAAUACUGAGACUGCUUAAAGAUUGCCGAGAGGGAUAUUCCUUUCUCUUGAUUUUUUUUUUCUUCAUAAGAUUGACAUAUCCCCCAUUCUCUGCCUCUGGCUGUUUAAAUACCCGUUUUGGAGAUCCGCUUUUGA